UCUGUUUUUCUUUCUGACUUAUCAAAUCUAUGCCGAAUCUCUCGUAUAUUUUCGUAUAAACAGAUAUACGUCUCAUACAUCAGGCCUGCUUUCACUCUUUAGAGGGAUAUCCAGACAUGGAUGUUAGAGCAGAGAAAUAUCUAAGACCGGACAACGAUUAUUUUCGGUGUGCGUCGUUGACGCAUUUUACGAAUCUACUCUUGUCUCGUCAUUAUUACGCACGAACCGUUUUAAACUAAGAUGACGCGGGUAUCAGAAAGAGCGCACCUCAGUUCGUUGCCUUCCUUAUUGAUGAUACGCUUUUAUCACUGGGAUAGGCUACUCCCGUCAGUUACCGACAUGAGUAAUUGUUUCGUUAAAGAAACCUAGUAAUUUUUAUUCCUACGAUGGUACCGAUCAUCGAUUAAUCAUAUCAACUUUUACGUAUUACGAAAGUACGUACGUAUUUCCUUUUGUACAACGUCAUUGUAAUAGGAAAUAUUACAAAUUAUUAUUACGAUCCUAUAAAAGAAAUGAAUGAGAAAAAUGUAAGGUCAAAAGGACACUUGGUUAUCUCUCUCUUUCUCUCUCUCUCUCUCUCUUUCUCUCUCUCUCUCUCUCUCUUUUUCUCCUUCUCUCUUUCAUUUUUUUUUUAUUUUUAAAAAUUUUUUUAUUUGAGGUAAUGAAUGGCGAAUAUUGUUGUAUUCUUAUAUCUUUUUACGUUUAGAAUCUAUACAAGACUCAACAUUAUAAGUACGAGACCCGGUCCAAAUUUCGCAAUUAUCAAGGACACACUGUCUCCCGGUUAAGAGUAGGAAAGUGUGGACAGUGUUUGCGCGUUAAAAUUGGACAAGUGGUACUAUAGUAUACUACUUAGGUAUAGAGAGAGAAAGAAAGAGAGAGAGAGAGAGAGAAAGAGAAAGAGAGAGAGAUAGAAAGAGAGAGAAAUAGAGACGCGAGAAGGGGACAUGCUCGAAGCUUUACGUAUUUUUAGAGAGUAGUCAAUAACGAUGGUGAUAUUCAACAAUCUUCUUUUCGAACGAACAAUGGACGUAUUUAUGAGAGAAAUAAAUCAACUAAAUAGAUCAUCGAACGAGAGAACGAAUUCGAAGUAUAUGCAUAUCUCCUAUUUUCACUCCAAUUUUUCGUCCUAUUCCUUCGUUCUUCAUCCUGUGAGAUUUCUGAGAAACCAUUUAAAUUGACGUGACGGAUGUGGCACAUUUGCUUUACAAAAAGACGUCACGAAGAGAAUUAUCUUCUUCUAUCUUUGCGACCCUUUUGUAAAAGUAUGAGAAAAGAUUUAACGAGCAACGAAGAAAUUUUAAAACGUGGGAUCAAGACAAAAAGAAGAAGAAGAAGAAGAAAAGGAAGAAGAAUAAGAAGACGAAGACGAAAAGGAAGAAUAUGAAGAAAACAAAAAAAAAAGCAGAGAGAAAAGAUAAAUGUCUGCGUUGAGUUUGUUUAAAAACUAUGAGACAGUGCCUAUGGUUGACUUAAAUCUAAGAUAUUAUCGCUGACGUUCCAUUAAAGAUAGUAAAUCGAUACGUUUACUUUAUAUUACAGCUCAUAUCUAAUUAUUGAUUUCAUCAAUGUACCUCGAAUGAUAUCGCAAUUCUUUUUUUUUUUUUUUUUGGCCAAAAUAUAUUUUUUUUAUUUUUUUAUGUAUAUUUUUUUUUUGUUUUUCCU